CUGGAGCAAGAAGAUCUCAGGCUGUGACCAUCUACAGGGAAGCACUUUCUAUGGUCAGAAAAAGAAAGUGCAUCCUUUUAGAGUGUUACUAUUUGAGAAAAGCAACAUUGAA
rnacentral:pre_miRNA from 1 species